rnacentral:rRNA from 1 species
UACGUGGGGUGCGAGCGUUGUCCGGAAUUAUUGGGCGUAAAGGGCUCGUAGGCGGUUUGUCGCGUCGGGAGUGAAAACUCAGGGCUUAACCCUGAGCCUGCUUCCGAUACGGGCAGACUAGAGGUAUGCAGGGGAGAACGGAAUUCCUGGUGUAGCGGUGAAAUGCGCAGAUAUCAGGAGGAACACCGGUGGCGAAGGCGGUUCUCUGGGCAUUAACUGACGCUGAGGAGCGAAAGUGUGGGGAGCGAACAGG